rnacentral:rRNA from 1 species
GCACCGAAGCCUGCGGCAGGUUUGCUGCUAGGCAAUGUGGUGUUUGGGUCGGCUAGUAGGAUUGCCACUCCACUCGAAGUCCAGCAUUGAGUAUGGUCUCUGGAUUUGGCCCUUAGAGGGUGAAAGGCCCGUACGGGUGGAGGUUUCAGAUAUGAAAGGCGAUUCACCAGGCCGGCCUUAGAGUCGGGUUGUUUGAGAAUGCAGCCCAAAGCGGGUGGUAAACUCCAUCCAAGGCUAAAUACAAGCACGAGUCCGAUAGCAAACAAGUACCGUGAGGGAAAGUUGAAAAGUACUCUGAAGAGAGAGUAAACAGUACGUGAAACCGCAUGCAGGUAAACGGGUGGCGUCAAGCUGCACGUCCAGAGGAUUCAGCCGGCUAGGGUGUGGUGUAUGCGCCUGUCGCGUCCAUCGGUCAGAAUAGAAUUGGAGUAGUCCACUGGCAUACGGUGGGCCCAGCCGCAAGGCUGGGAUGUGCGUACCGAGCGGAAGCCGGAGCACGCUACUUAUCUGUUGGACCGUCUAGCCGGUGCACUUUCUCUGUGGCGGACACCACGACCGGUGGUAUUGCCAGUCUGCUGUAGUCAAGUCGUGUGGCAUUAGUACUUGUGACGAAUGCGGCACGAUCACGGGCAAUUUCAGUAAACGGCGUAGGUAUGCCUCGGCAGGCCUGCGUGUUAUCGGCUACUGGUUGUCAACGGGCCCGUCGCCGCCGUCGUCAAGGUGGUGGUGGUGGUGCCUGGUGGACUAUGGUGGUAGGAAUAACUGUGCAAGGCACCGGUGUUCUCGGCCUCAAUUGCAACUCACAUCCGCCCGUUAAUGGGUGUAUCCUAAUGGGUGGCUGCUGCAGCCUGCCUGUUGUUGGGUUUGAUUGUCGUGUCGCCUGCAUAAAGUAGGCCCGACGAUAGCCUACUGCAGGAUGGCGCUGUUCUGGAGUCACUCGUGUGUGUGAAUUGUCGUGGGCCUUAUAGUCAGUGGUGUAGUGGUAGAUCAGCCACCCGACCCGUCUUGAAACACGGACCAAGGAGUUUAACAUGUAUGCAAGUCGUAGGGUCCUACGAAACCCGAAGGCGCAAUGAAAGUGAAGCUUCGACUUGUUCUCGGAGUGAGGUGAGAUCCUGCCGUUACUCGCAUCAGUUCUGCCAGUGGCAGGCUAAGAGCGGUAGGCGCAUCACCGGCCCGUCUUAUGAUGUGGUCAUUGGAGUAAUNUGCGGUUGUUGCCGCUGCUUUAGUGGUGGUAGGGGCCGUGGGUGNCAGUGCNUC